AGGACGAACGCUGGCGGCGUGCUUAACACAUGCAAGUCGAGCGGAAAGGCCCUUCGGGGUACUCGAGCGGCGAACGGGUGAGUAACACGUGAGUAAUCUGCCCCUAGCUCUGGGAUAGCUCCGGGAAACCGGGAUUAAUACCAGAUACGACCACUUUAGACAUCUGUUGUGGUGGAAAGAAUUUCGGCUAGGGAUGAGCUCGCGGCCUAUCAGCUUGUUGGUGAGGUAACGGCUCACCAAGGCGACGACGGGUAGCCGGGCCUGAGAGGGCGACCGGCCACACUGGGACUGAGACACGGCCCCAGACUCCUACGGGAGGCAGCAGUGGGGAAUAUUGCGCAAUGGGCGAAAGCCUGACGCAGCGACGCCGCGUGGGGGAUGAAGGCCUUCGGGUUGUAAACCCCUUUCUAGCAGGGACGAAGCGAAAGUGACGGUACCUGCAGAAGAAGCGCCGGCUAACUACGCGCCAGCAGCCGC
rnacentral:rRNA from 1 species